rfam:Anaerolineaceae bacterium oral taxon 439 strain W11661, complete genome.
CUCUUAUCCAGAGAGGUAGAGGGACCGGCCCGAUGAAACCUCGGCAACCUGAUCGCCUUGAUUAAGGUGCCAAUUCCGACAGGUAUCUGGAAGAUAAGAG